AGGAAAGAUGCCGAGGCUCUCGGAAGAAACCCCGCAGGCUUCAGUUAAAUGCCUGCUGGGACAUCCUACAGAUGAGCAGUUACUUAACCAGAGCAUCUUAGCUGUGUAAGCGCCUGAGCUGAGCUUCCGGAACAUGUCCUUGUCUUCUGUCUUUGGAUAAAUGUUUUUGGGAGCCAAUAUCUUUCCCACAAGGUUCAGAUUCUGCAGGACGUGACCCAUCUACGUGCUACAUCAGCCAUAAGUUUCUAAUUCCUCCAGAUGUCUCAUCACAUCUUAUUUGACAACAUUUCUAAAGCAGUGACCCUGAAAUCCCCCUGGAGCAGAGGGUGUAGUUACAAGAUUAAGGAGGGCCACCCAAUCUAGACUGAACUUCACACAGCUGAUGUCAGAGAUUGGCUUGCUGCACAAUGGGUGAAUGAAGUCACUUCAGGUUCGAUAUCACUCCUUCCUACCACAUAGCCCUUCCGCACCGGGCCUUAUGAAGAGAAACGUGUUAAUGCAUGCGGUGCACAUGAACUGACAUUCUCAGAUCGUCCACGCACUGAGGUUAUAAUUGUGGAAGCAGAGUGAAGAAAGGUAUUCUUUGAGGAAUAGGACCCCCUACUGAGUGGCUAUCAAACUGAAGAAUCUGCCUUUUGUACGAUUUCCAGCGACGGUAGAAUGCCAAUAUAUUAGUCCACAGGGGGACGUACAACUUCAGGGGAGACCAGACCCUUGUGCUCCGCCAACACACACUGUCUCUGAAGACGGGCUCCGGGGCGACGACAGCACAGCGGAGUUGGCCCAAGGCCCUCCUUCCCCUGGACUUCAUGACUGAUAACCCCACCUCUGGGGAGUCUGAUGUUCUGGUAUGACACGUAGGGACCACACUGGAAGUUACGCAGCGGAUGAUGUGUAAUUUGAUGUGAUCUAAUGGAGCGAGACAAACGUGGUUUGGGACUCUGCACGUAAGAAUGAGAAGACAGGGGAAAGAGGAGACCCCGGAAUGGCCUGCCCAAGCCCGCAUCACCAGUCCUCAGGAAGACGCUCACCUGUGGGCACAGCUGGUAGGCUCUGGGUCAACGAGCUGGGCCUGCUGGGACCUCAGGGGCCAUUGCUAGAGCUGUAAGAGCCUGAAUGGAAUGUGCUUGUCAGCGGCCCUUGUCAAGAGGGCUGCCAAGCCCUUGCUGGCGACAAUGAAUGGAUGUAUCUCUGAAAAGGUGAUGAAAACAGAUCAGUGACCAGAAUGUGAGUGGAACACUGGAGAGGUAGUCUCAGAGAAUGAUUCUGACUACAAGAUGUUACUUAAAACCACAGAAAUCUUGCCCAGACCCUCUUCAUGCUAAAGUUGAAUUUCCCAGCCUGUAAAGAAGUCUGGUUUCAGGAAAAGGUUCUAAAACGACUUCAUAGAGCAUGGACCCCAGAGACAGCUCAGUAGGGGCAGCAGCAGUCCAACGAAGACUCGCUCACUUGUAGAGCAUCGACUACGCACCAGGCACUGUGUAGGGGCUUUACAGACAUAUUUUUUCCAGACUAUUAGUCCUCCCUUUUGUAAAACAACAAAAAAACAACAAAAACCCUUUUCCUUUAGGCUGUGACCACCUGCAGCAGGCGGGAGAGGGAUGACUAAUAUAAUCAAAUGGAACUCUCUUCCAUGGCCCCAUGCUGACCCUUGUCAUCACUGAAACCGCUCCUUCUUCUGAAUCAGUGACCUCAGUAUGUCCGUCUCCCACCGUCUCCUCCUGCCAGUCCUUCCAAGUUGCUUAUCCACCACUCCUGCAGCCACGUUCUAACCUCGUCAGCACCUGCAGUCCACUGAACCUCCUAUUCACCCCAUCAUAUAUAUGCCUUCCCCUAUCCUCACUUGCUUUUUAUGCAUCGUAGAAUCCCUGGUCCAUCAUCAGGCCCUGCAUUCCUGCAUCUGCUGAGUUUUAGUGGCACAAUGCUGCUGGAGGAAGUCACACACCAGAGAGCUGCGUCUCACUCUGAAUUCACUGAUUCCUCUCAAUAAUUAGAUAUUACCUCUUAAAUAGUUCUCAAAUUACUCGUCUCUUUCCAUUUUCACCAUUACCACUGUUAAAAAUGAUUAAAGACGACAAUUUAGGCGAUACAAACAAACUUUAUUUAACACAAAGCAUUAAAGCUCAUGAAGUGAGUAGUCUCUAUUCCUAAGGGUCCAGAGAACUGCAAAAUGGCUGGAAGCCAGGAAGCUUUUAUGGGAUAAAGAAGAAGGAACAAGGAAGAGAAAAACAGAGAGUGAAUAGGGAACAAGGAAGUUGGUACAGAGCCCAGAGCUGGCUUCGUAUUGUUACCGAAACCGAAGUGGGUUCCUUCCUGGUGAGUUAAAUCAGACUCUCCACCAGAAGGAGUUGUCUCACAGUAAAGUAUAUUUGUGGCAAAUAGGAGACCACGAGGAAUCAUUUCCAGAGUUCCGGCGUCCCCGAAGAAAGGGAAGCAGGGACAUUUAUUUCGGAUGGGGAAUGAAUAUUCAAAAGGGAGAGAUGGGUAUUCGCUUGCGCAGGCUCAGUUAGAAGACAUUCUUCCACACACACUGCGGGUUACAGUGAUAAGGCCUAAGCUCCUCCUGGAGAGAUCUUAGCAUUAAAAAUAAGGCAAAGGUCAUAGGUGUAGCUCUUGUGGUGAGGCUUGGUCUGGUUCAGGGAGGGUGGUGAUGACAUCUCCUUAACAGAACAAAAGGAAAACGAACAAUUUGAAAAAGCAGUUAAAAUAUCCGCCCCACCCUUGAGUUCCUUGGGGUAACUAGCUGGUGACUGUUUGGGGGCUGGCUGAGUGGACACACUGCGUUUCUGGUCAAGAAGAACAUUCAGAGGAAUGUGAAAGUCUUCUAAAUUUCAUUUUGCUGACGUGGCUUUCUGGGCUGGAGUGGCUCCAUUCUAGGCCUAGAAAUGCAUUCCAGGAUCGCUUUAAUCCAACCUGCCGUCAUCUCUGUCUGAGACUCAUAACAGCUUGUGCAGGUUGGCCUGCAGUCACUCAUCAUCUCCCUCCCACCCCGUCGUCCCCCAUGGGUUGCAGUCAGGAUUCUGACUUUAAAAUGCAAAUGUGCAUGUUACUGCCCACUCUCCCUCAGCCUCCUAUCGUUCUUAGGAUAAUGACAAAAACUGAACUUGGCCAACAAGACUCUACGGGGCAGGUCCCCCAAUGCACUUCCCCUGCUCUUCCUGCUCCAGCCACAUGGGCCCCCGCAGCCUUUCCCAUGCUCCCUCCUUCACGCUUCCACUGAGCCCCUUGUAUGCUACUCCCUCUGAUGAGAACACUCACCAUCCUACCCUCCACGCCCAGUCACCUCCUUGUCUUCACAUCUCCCCUCCAUCAUCGCCUCCACAGAGCAGCCCAGCCUUCUCUGACCCCCUGAGGUCCGAUCUGCCUGUCAGAUGCUCUUAGAGCUCAAGGUCACAGUUCCAUUUUUAACUUACAGGCUUAUGUGAUGGAUGUCUUUCCCAGCAGACUGAAAGCUCAAAACAAAAACAGUCUAGCGUGCUUUUGUUUAUCAUUGUAUCCUUAGCACCCAGCAUAGUCACAUGUAGGCACUCAAUCAUUUGUUCAAUGAAAGUUGAAUGAAUGAUGUUUAAUUUUCACAAUCACCUGGAAAGGAAGCUAUUAUCCCCAUUUUACAAGUGAGAAAAAUGAAGAAGCUCAGGAAAGGUAAAUUACUUAAGUUGUAGAUAAUCAGAGACUCACCUAGUUUGUCUGAUUAUAAAGCUCACGUUCUUUUCUCUGUACUCAAUUUCUCAUGAUACUCAAAUGUCACAAAAUAUUCUACGCUAAAACUACAAAAGGUGGGGUCAGAGACAGCAUGGUGCUAAAUGAAGGUGAGAAGAGAGUCCUGUGGGAUGCUUGGCUCUCAAAACUGCACCCAAGGCACCUCUACUGAAAAACCUUUGGGCCAGUCCAGUGGCGCCACGGUUAAGUUCUUGUGCUCUGCUUUGGUGGCCCGGGGUUCGCUGGUUAGGAUCCCAGGCAUGGACCUAUGUAUUGCUUAUCAAGCCAUGCUCUGAUCUUACUCAGGGCUAAUCUUCCUCAAAAAAAAAAAAAAACCUCUUUACCACCCAAAAAGCAAUUGAUCUAUAUCAAAAGCAUGAUAUUAAUAACUUCUCAAUAUCAGUAACUCUUCAUCUAGUAAUUCUGUUUCUAGCAAUUUUAAGAAAAUUUUGAGAGGUACACAAGAAUUUAUGCACAGGAUGUUCAUCACAGUAAUAUGUUCAAACACAUAACUGUUAAAUUACAAUACAUCCUUAUAAUGAAUUUUUUAUGCAGAUGCUAAAUACAUAGUUUUAAAGAAUACUUAAAUGACAUGAGAAAAUGGUUAAAUAUAACACUCAGUGAAUGAAAGCGAGGUAGACUAAUAAAAGGACACUAGUAUGACCCCAAUUUUGGUGGCAUGUGUUUCUAUCUGUUCACUGUGAAGAAAAAUAAAUAGAAAUAUAGCAAUAUGUUAACUGGUUAUCUCUGAAUGGAGGAAAAAAUGUUAUUAAAAAGCAAUUGACCA
ensembl:lncRNA